UACGAAGGGGGCUAGCGUUGUUCGGAAUUACUGGGCGUAAAGCGCACGUAGGCGGACAUUUAAGUCAGGGGUGAAAUCCCAGAGCUCAACUCUGGAACUGCCUUUGAUACUGGGUGUCUAGAGUAUGGAAGAGGUGAGUGGAAUUCCGAGUGUAGAGGUGAAAUUCGUAGAUAUUCGCAAGAACACCAGUGGCGAAGGCGGCUCACUGGCCCGAUACUGACGCUGAGGCACGAAAGCGUGGGGAGCAAACAGG
rnacentral:rRNA from 1 species